rnacentral:rRNA from 1 species
UACGUAGGUGACCAGCGUUGUCCGGAUUUACUGGGCGUAAAGAGCGCGCAGGCGGUCGUUCAAGUCGAGUGUGAAAGCCCCCGGCUCAACUGGGGAGGGUCAUUCGAUACUGAUCGACUGGAAGGCAGGAGAGGGAAGCGGAAUUCCCGGUGUAGUGGUGAAAUGCGCAGAUAUCGGGAGGAACACCGGUGGCGAAGGCGGUUCUCUGGGCCUUACCUGACGCUGAGGAGCGAAAGCGUGGGGAGCGAACAGG